CCUCAUGAGCGGUAAAUGUUUUGACCCCAUUUGGGCAGAGCUGGACAGCGCAACCAACCUUGUAGCUGUUUGCCCACACAACCUGAAAGGAACAAGGAUACAGUUGGAACCAGAUAUUUAUAUAUACAGUACAAAAAGACACAUAUCCUUAUUUUUCUCCUUGACAUUGAAUCAGGUUCAACCUUUAGUGUUUUAAGUCAAUUUAGGAUUACCAAAAUCAUUCUAUCUGCAAAAUUUCAGAAAGAUAUAACAGUUCUUUUUGCCUUCAUUUAAAUUAAGAAUUUUCCAAAUAUUUGCUUAGUAUUUGGCCUUAUCAACUAUAUGACCAGACUCAAUUGUUAUGGUUAUCAUUCCAAGAACUUCUUACAAAAUAUAUAUAUUUAUAUAGCAUUUUCUAGUAUUUCAUAUCACUCAAGACCCCUAUUCACACAAUCCCACUCACACUUUGCACACAUUCAUACACCAAUAUGCAGGUCAGUAGGCAACUUGGGGUUAAGUGUCUUGCCCAGGGGCACACAGACAUGUUACAGGAGAAAGCUGGAAUUUAACCCACACGGUGAGUGGGGGACGACUACCCAUUGAGCCACAGUCACGUCCCACAGUUUAUCGAGAGCACCAGUUCCUCCUGUAGCUAAGUACUCAUGCUCCCACCUCCAUACCUUACAGUUGGACUGGUGUUUGCAGGCUUGUAAGCUUCCAAAUUUCUUUCAGAUUUAACAAAAGUCAUUAUGAACAAAUUACUCCAAAAAUAAGAUCUUUGCCUGAAGUGUAUUUGUAAACUGCUAUCUGGCCUUUUUAUGUUGCUUUUGCAGUAAUGGCUUCUUCCCCUUUGAGUGGCAUUCAGCUCAUUUUCAGCUCACUGUUGAAAAUGAUACUUUCUUUCCAGCUUUAGUCGGCAUCUUCACUGUAUUUUUUGCUUUUGUUCUAUAUGGAUGCAUGUUCGAGGUGUUAAUUCUACAUGUGUGCCCCACUUUAACUUGGUGAGAAUUAACUUAUUAGAGACAAGUAGGGGUGCACCGAUCGGCGGGCUGAUCUCCUCAUUUCCUUAAUUUCCAGAGAUCGGUGAUCAGCCGAUACUUACAUGUAUAAACGAUCUUAUCCACUGAUCUUAUCCAUUGUGCAAGUUUUGUUUCUUUUUAAAAUGUGAAAAAUUAAAGACGGAAGGAACUGCAAUGUUCUAAACCUUUCAUUUAUAUUUGAGAGCAUGUCCUCAUGUGCAGUUAAAACAAGUUUGCAUUGUUUUACAGGUAUUGUUCAAUGUUUUUCAAUAAAAUGAGAUUGGAAUUGUGUA